GUCCAACUGACAAGUCCCAAAUAAGACGAAACCCGCAUCCUGGAC
rnacentral:hammerhead_ribozyme from 1 species